UUAGCAAUAAAUUAACAACCGAAUGCCUUCACUUUAAAUUUACUACCUUUGCCUUGUAAAUUAUGAGAACCUCUCUUUAACCAAUUGUGGUCCCCAAAUUUCAACAGAGAUGAGGAAGCCCUUGAAGUCAUAUCACCAAAAGAAGUAUUGGGUUUUCGAUUUUCAACAAACUUGGAGCUAAAUUUUUCCACAGAAGUAACAAAUGUGUCUUUCAUUAGCUAACUUGGAGCUUCAAAUUGAUGUACAGUAGGACUGGAACGAGGAUUGCCCAAUGAUAACCCCCUGUUAGGUGCUUCGGUCUUCGAAGAAAGUGGGAAUUUUUUUGGGGCUUGUGUCGAC
rnacentral:lncRNA from 1 species